AUUGAACGCUGGCGGCAUGCUUUACACAUGCAAGUCGAACGGCAGCGGGGGCUUCGGCCCGCCGGCGAGUGGCGAACGGGUGAGUAAUGCAUCGGAACGUACCCAGUCAUGGGGGAUAACUACGCGAAAGCGUAGCUAAUACCGCAUACGCCCUGAGGGGGAAAGCGGGGGACCGCAAGGCCUCGCGUGAUUGGAGCGGCCGAUGUCGGAUUAGCUAGUUGGUGGGGUAAAGGCCUACCAAGGCGACGAUCCGUAGCGGGUCUGAGAGGAUGAUCCGCCACACUGGGACUGAGACACGGCCCAGACUCCUACGGGAGGCAGCAGUGGGGAAUUUUGGACAAUGGGGGCAACCCUGAUCCAGCCAUGCCGCGUGAGUGAAGAAGGCCUUCGGGUUGUAAAGCUCUUUCAGACGGAAAGAAAACGCUCUCUCUAAUACAGGGGGCGGAUGACGGUACUGUCAGAAGAAGCACCGGCUAACUACGUGCCAGCCGCCGCGGUAACAC
rnacentral:rRNA from 1 species